rnacentral:tRNA from 1 species
GGGAAUGUAACUCAAUAGGUAGAGUGUGUGGUUUGCAACCAUGAAGUUAAGAGUUCAAAUCUCUUUAUUUCCA